rnacentral:rRNA from 1 species
UGGUGGAGUGAUUUGUCUGGUUAAUUCCGUUAACGAACGAGACCUCGACCUGCUAAAUAGUUGACUUAACUCUUCGGGGUUUAGAUUGACUUCUUAGAGGGACUUUUGGUGAGUAGCCAAAGGAAGUUCGAGGCAAUAACA